AAGCUCGUAGUUGAAUUUCGGGGUUAGUAGGUUGGUCAUGCCUCUGGUAUGUACUGGUCUCACUGAUUCCUCCUUCCUGAUGAACCGUAAUGCCAUUAAUUUGGUGUUGCGGGGAAUUUGGACUGUUACUUCGAAAAAAUUAGAGUGUUUAAAGCAAGCUAACGCUUGAAUACAUUAGCAUGGAAUAAUGAAAUAGGACGUUCGAUCCUAUUUUGUUGGUUUCUAGGAUUGACGUAAUGAUUAAUAGGGAUAGUUGGGGGCAUUAGUAUUCAAUUGUCAGAGGUGAAAUUCUUGGAUUUAUUGAAGACUAACUACUGCGAAAGCAUUUGCCAAGGAUGUUUUCAUUAAUCAAGAACGAAAGUUAGGGGAUCGAAGACGAUCAGAUACCGUCGUAGUCUUAACCAUAGACUAUGCCGACUAGGGAUCGGAUGAUGUUAAUUUUUUAAUGACUCAUUCGGCGCCUUACGGGAAACCAAAGUGUUUGGGUUCCGGGGGGAGUAUGGUCGCAAGGCUGAAACUUAAAGGAAUUGACGGAAGGGCACCACCAGGGGUGGAGCCUGCGGCUUAAUUUGACUCAACACGGGGAAACUCACCAGGUCCAGACAUAGUAAGGAUUGACAGAUUGAGAGCUCUUUCUUGAUUCUAUGGGUG
rnacentral:rRNA from 1 species